GUUGCUUCAUAUGGUGAGCUUCUUCAAUUGAAGUGAGGAUUGUUCUAGUUUCCGAAGCAUAUAACAAAUCCAGUAGUAUUAAACAGUUUGAUCUCAAUUUUUUUCAUGGCAUCAAACUACCUGUCUCCUCCUACAUUG